rnacentral:rRNA from 1 species
CCUACGGGGGGCAGCAGUGAGGAAUAUUGGUCAAUGGACGAGAGUCUGAACCAGCCAAGUAGCGUGAAGGAUGACUGCCCUAUGGGUUGUAAACUUCUUUUAUAUGGGAAUAAAAUGUUCCACGUGUGGGAUUUUGUAUGUACCAUAUGAAUAAGGAUCGGCUAACUCCGUGCCAGCAGCCGCGGUAAUACGGAGGAUCCGAGCGUUAUCCGGAUUUAUUGGGUUUAAAGGGAGCGUAGGUGGAUUGUUAAGUCAGUUGUGAAAGUUUGCGGCUCAACCGUAAAAUUGCAGUUGAAACUGGCAGUCUUGCGUACAGUAGAGGUGGGCGGAAUUCGUGGUGUAGCGGUGAAAUGCUUAGAUCUCACGCAGAACUCCGAUUGCGAAGGCAGUUCACUGGACUGCAACUGACACUGAGGCUCGAAAGUGUGGGUAUCAAACAGGAUUAGAUACCCGAGUAGUC